rnacentral:rRNA from 1 species
GGCGAACGCUGGCGGCGUGCUUAACACAUGCAAGUCGAACGGAAAGGCCCUGCUUUUUUGGGGUUCUCGAUUGGCGAACGGGUGAGUAACACGUGAGUAACCUGCCCUUGACUUUGGGAUAACUUCAGGAAACUGGGGCUAAUACCGUAUAGCAGCUCCUGCUGCAGUGUGGGGGUUGGAAAGUUUCGGCGGUUGGGGAUGGACUCGCGGCUGAUCAGCUUGUUGGUGGGGUAGUGGCUUACCAAGGCUUUGACGGGUAGCCGGCCUGUGAGGGUGGCCGGCCACAUUGGGACUGAGAUACGGACCAGACUCGUACGGGAGGCAGCAGUGGGGAAUAUUGCACAAUGGGCGGAAGCCUGAUGCAGCAACGCCGCGUGCGGGAUGACGGCCUUCGGGUUGUAAAAAGCUUUAGCCUGUGACGAAGCGUGAGUGACGGUAAUGGGUAAAGAAGCACCGGCUAACUACGUG